rnacentral:rRNA from 1 species
AGUGAACGCUGGCGGUGGGCCUAACACAUGCAAGUCGAACGGCAGCACAGUAAGAGCUUGCUCUACGGGUGGCGAGUGGCGGACGGGAGCGGGAUACUACCGAAUCUACUUUUUCGUGGGGGCUUCCGGAGGGAAACGUUAGCUCAUACCACAUACGCCCUCCGGGUGGAAGGGGUGGGACUUUGGCGCCUGCGCGGUUUGAACAGCCGACGUCGGAGUAGCUUGGUGGCGGGGUAAAGGCCCACCAAGGCGACGAGUCGUAGGUGGUCGGGGGGGAUGAUCAGCGACACUGGAGCUGAGACACGGUCCAGACGCCUACGGGAGGCAGCAGUGUGGAAUAUUGGACAAUGGGCGCAAGCCUGAUCCAGCCAGAGCGCGUGGGUGAAGAAGGCCUUCGGGUUGGAAAGCCGUUUUGUGGGGAAAGAAAAGCAGCAGGUUAAUACCACGCUGUUCUGACGGUACCCAAAGAAUAAGCACCGGCUAACUUCGUG